GCUCUUAUGGUGUAAAACACGUUAAGUUUUCAAUUUAAAGAUAUAAUAUUAAUUAUUAAGAGUA